CCGAAAGGUUGUGGAUAGUGUAGUAACGUUGAUUCAGAUGGAGUAACGUUAAAUCAGUAUUUCUUCUGAACAAGUACAAAACUCCAUUUGGGAGAUGGUGACAAUGUGGGGCGCACAGUUGUUUUAAAAGUGAACAUCCUGACAACACAACUGCCCAGUCCCACCAAUCAUGUCCGUGUCCUCAUCCAAAUCACCACUGUGGGGAACAGCUGCACAUAGAUCGACUUCUAUUGACGUCUGCUAUUAUCCAGGGCUGGUGGCGCACAGCGGAGGUUUGUCAGAUCUUGUUGCUAAAAAAGUUGUAACACCUUUUGGCACAACUGCAUCAUGGGAAGCCAGGCUGCUUUGGCUGCUGGUCAUUCCUGUUCACACUGUAGACCAUCAUCACCUCUGAUACUGAAGAAGUCUGGCAGUGGAGGGUGAAUAUUGCAAAAAUGUUGAUGUCUUUCAUAUCUGUUCGGAGCGCAUUAUCUGUGCAUGUCUGAAUAAAUGUACUUGAAUGUAUGGUG